GCAGAGAAAGAGUGUGGAAAUAAAAGGUGAAAACCAAAAGAGAAAAGGGGCGAGGGGAUGAAGACAAAGCAGGACGACUAAGACCAUGGAGGGCCCCUUCCUCGGAGCGACGGUGUCAGAGCGCUGGGAGCCACAUUUCUCCAAGCGGCUUGCCUUGGGGAUCCGCUGGGAGCAGUCUGCCUCGCGGCGACACACUGGGUGGCCCUCGGACGGCGGAAGUGGAGCGGAGGCCGCCCUCUUGCCCUUCCUGGCCGCUUGGGCUCCUUGGGAAGGAGGCAGAAACGUGCGUGUCUGCAGCCGCGGCUCUCGGUGGUUGCCCGGCUCAGGGGAGGCAGGGCUGGCGGCAGCGCUGGGCGCUUCCUGCUCCCUGGGCAGGGUGGGGGGCUGGGACCGGGUUGGGGCCGGGUUGAGGCCGGGCUGGGGGUGGGGUUGGGGACUGUUCUCGACCUCGUAGCUCCGGGAGGGUCCUGUGGCCACCUCCUCUGCUGCGGAUUGCUGGACGGGCCAUGCCCACCCCUCACAGCUCCUCCUGCUCCUCUCUCUUGUUGCCGUCUCUUCUCUUGCUAAAUCCUCUCCAGGAGCAGCUCAAGGGGCAACCCCUGCUCGCUGUGGGAGCUCUGGGAAGAGAAUCCAGAGGUUGACAUCCUGGCCCUGGAGCUGCCACUCACCGCCUGAGCAUAGGGGAAUGUGUCGCUUCUUCUUCGUGGGCCUCAGUUUCCUAACCUGUAAAAGGGGAGUGUUGAACGGAAAGUUCUCUCCCAGCUUGUACCCUCAAUGCUCAUCCCGAAAACAUUGAGGGAUGGUUGAGGCCAGCGCUGUGGUGUGGUGGGUAAAGCCACCGCCUGCAGUGCUGGCAUCCCAUAUGGGCGCGGGUUCGCAUCCGGCUGCUCCAUUUCUGAUCUUGCUCUCUGCUGUGGCCUGGGAAAGCAGUAGAAGAUGUCCCAAGUCCUUGGGUCCCUGCACCCGUGUGAAAGACCUGGAGGAAGCUCCUGGCUCCUGGCUUUGGAUCUGCGCAGCUCCGGCCGUUGCAGCCAUCUGGGGAGUGAACCAGAAGAUGGAAGACCUCUCACUCUCUGCCUCUGCCUCUCUGUAACUCUUUCAAAUAAAACAAAUAAAAUCUUAGCCGGCGCCGCGGCU
rnacentral:lncRNA from 1 species